GACGGAAGGUGCAAGCGUUGCUCGGAAUCACUGGGCGUAAAGGGGUGCGUAGGCGGCCGUGCAAGUCUGGCGUGAAAGCCCCGGGCUCAGCCCGGGAAGUGCGCUCGAAACUGCGCGGCUCGAGUGCCGGAGGGGAGAGUGGAAUUCCUGGUGUAGCGGUGAAAUGCGUAGAUAUCAGGAGGAACACCGGUGGCGAAGGCGGGUCUCUGGGGCCGAUACUGACGCUGAGGAGCGAAAGCGUGGGGAGCGAACAGG
rnacentral:rRNA from 1 species